rnacentral:lncRNA from 1 species
AAAAAUUCAUCUCUGUAGCAUCUGUUUGCCUCUGGGCACGUGAAACUUUUUCCUCCUCUCUUCCUGUUCAGUCCUCUUCCAGAGGCAGGAGGGGUGAGAAGCGUCACGUUCUGAUUCGGCACCAGCUUGGGUCACGAGUGGAUGGAUCGUUCUCCUUAUAAAUGCAUCAAAUCUGACCAAUCGACACGUGGGGCUGACAAUCACUGAGUGUUUUAAACGAAAAACCACAGCAGUGAGGAGCUCUAAAAGGCCACAGCCUCUGCUUUGAGGUGCUUCUGUGGGACUGAUCAUGCCAGCCUGGCUGCACCUGGCUUUAUGCACCUGCCCAGACCUCUGCACAGGUCAGGGUUUUCUAAAUGGAGACCUCAGCCCUUCCUGACUCACCGAGCUCAUGGACUUCAAAUCCCAUGUCUUCCUUCUGCGAGAACCUCAAACACAAGGCCAGCACCCUGCUUCUCCGGAGCACCCCUGUCAUCCUCAAGGGGGAGCCUUAGAGCUACCAAAAGCCCCCAGAUCUCCCACUCGACAAGCUGCCUUCCAGCCCUAGGAGCCACUUGCCAUGCCCCUUCUCAGGGCAGGCCCCACCCGUGCCCCAGGGUGCUAGGCCCUGCCAGAGGGAGAGAGCAGCAUGGACACCACACUUGGCCAGAGGUAAGCAGAGCCCUAACCUGGAAGCCCAGGGAACAGUGA